GGAAAUUCAAUUGCUUUUAUCUUUUUAUUUUCUUCCUUUCUCUUUUUUAGAGACAGGGUCUGGCUUUUUCAACCAGGCUGGACGGCAGUGGUGUGAUCAUGGCUCAUUGCGGCUUGAGACUUCUGGGCACAAGCAGGCUUACUGCCUCAGCCUCCCGAGUGGCUGGGACCACAGGUUUGCAGGGUGGGGCGAAUGGCCAUCGUGUGCUACGUGCUCUGAGGAGGCUUCCGCAACUGCUCUAUGAGCCACAGAUGUCAGGUCCCAGAGGAGACUCUCCCCACGCGGCCUCCCCUUCCCUGCGAUGCUGUCACCUCGGCCCGGAAGUGAACCACACAGCCAGGCCAAUGACCCCGGAAGUAGAAACUGCGCAGCCAGGCCGAGGACCCUCCGUCCAUGCUGAAGGCUCCAGGGCCCUCAGUCCUCCAUUUCUGUAGCGGUAACUCGGUAACGUGUUACCUGCGCGCCGGGGGCGGCCGCUACACGCCUUCUCAGGGGACCGACGGCGUUUCCGUUCCCAGCACUCGCGCACUCAGCGGUUCCUCCUUCCUCGGUCUGACACGCCUUGACUCACUGCUGACUCCAUGAUGGUGGCCGGGCUGCAUCUCACAGAUGAAACCACGCACAGCGCAUGCCCAGCACUCAGUUGACUGCGCAUUUCUCUAAAGCUUCAAACUAGAGUAGCUCAGGGAUUAUGUGCAAUCUGCGAAAAAAGUUUGUAUAUCCUGUUACUGAUCUCCUGAGCUAUGAACUCCCUAAGGAAAAGAAAAUCUUUCUCUAAAGAGACUGGCUUGUUUUCAAGCUUAGGAACACCAGCCAGAGGGCUCAGGCUAAGUUUAGACAACUAAAAAUAAAGUGAAAGCUUGAGUUUUAAAAUUACGAUGA
rnacentral:lncRNA from 13 species